rnacentral:siRNA from 1 species
ACUGCGGAUAAAAUGCGGUGCGGU